GCUCUCCUUUUCAGGGAACAGGGCUUGAGAAGCAAGGACUUAAAAGAUGGGUAGGACUUAAAAAGGGCACUUCAGUUGCAAUUGAAGGUCUAUCUGCCGGAACACUGGCCAUUCCACAGGACAGGUGACCACAAGAUCACUUUACAGCUUGGGAAUCGACAACCUACCAGACCACGUGGUCUCCAGCUCUCCAGAUCCAGCCACACUCACGGCCAACUGCUGCUUUAAAGUGUCCCUUCUUAUUUCUGUGGGUAUGUUACUGGGUCUUUCGGGUCACUCACCCACUAGACCACCUCCCCCUCCAGAGGGGUCCCCUGCCCCCCUAGAAAUUUGGUGGCUUGACAGUGCAGUGUGCUUUUUAGACAACUAGUUAAAACAGGAACAAGAACCCCCACAAGACACCCAUCUUCUGACUACUCAUGGAUAGAGAAGUUCAGCUUAUGCACAAAAGAAUCACACCAAUGAAGUUUUUCAACCUUUAUUAAUAUGUCAUCUAUUUUUAAAAAUAGUGAGACUGCUCCAAACAACAGAUGCAUGAGAGAUACCUGAAAAUUAAAAGGGCAAAGUAAUUACACUAGAUUCCUGUGAAAAUACAAACACAAACCAGUUUAGGACAAAUUCAAUCAAGAGGUAUAGUAUAGUUUGAAGCUACUUCCACUUCCCCUAACUUCAUCUGAAGAAAAAGGAGGAAAACGGAAAGGCAGAAGUAAAAGUCAAGCAAAGACGCCGCAGGGAUUUGAACCCUGUCCUGGAAGCCAGGAGUGCCAACCACCAGCAUCUUUUGCUUUUUUUUUUAAAGCUAGGUAAAGGCCAAAAAGCAAAACCUGAGAAAACAAAGUAUUUUGUUUUCUCAGGAAAAGAAAAACCUUUAAAUUUUAAGACCCUACUGAAGAGCACUGGAGAAUCUGCUUCAGCUAAGAUGCUAGCUUGGCCAAGUCUGUUAUGUUCACCUGAAAAAGUCUUAGCAGAGAGUUUUUGCAUUCCCACCCAACAGCCCUCAACUGCUAAAAUGCCUAUCUCCUUCAGCUUGCUAUACUUUCCCACCCAACAGUAUAGUUCUUACAUGUUAGCGCUUUGUUGUCUCUCUUGCCACAGGAAGGCGCCAGGGUUGUCCUACUUUAAGCCUUCGGGUGCCUUUAUUGAGGGGUACCUGAAAAAUCUUAAAAAAAGGCUUAGCGCCCACCUCACCCCUCCACCCCCAGGCCAACAAACUUGCUCAUGCUGUUUAUUCCAGCAUAAAGCUGAAAUGAAAGGCCAUUUGACACUAAUUUACCCGGAACAGAUCUGACUUGGUAUGUAAACGUAGAAAAAGCUUGUUCACCUGUUGUCCUCAUUUUGUCCCCUGGUGAAUUCAACUGGAAGCUCCUUCUAGUCUGAAGAGUACCAUCUGAAAGAACUAGUGGUUCCCAAUCCCCACAUUUAAAUGGAAUGUUUGGUUUGUUUAU
rnacentral:lncRNA from 1 species